AUCGCUUCUCGGCCUUAUGGCUAAGAUCAAAGUGUAGCUUUGUAGCUUAACAUCUGAUAGAUCCUCCAUCGGAGGACAACAAAUGUUAAACUGAUUUUUGGAAAUGGGCGGAGUGUUUUAAAGGCUUGGUCGUCCACCUCUGCCACGGGUUGGCCCGGUAUUGCAGUACCGCCGCGAUUUCGGCCUUGAAUAA